ensembl:lncRNA coiled-coil domain-containing protein 30-like
AUGGCUCACAAGGAGAUCCGCAGGCUGACGGAUGAGCUGGAAUCAGCUCACCUGACCCAGAGCGCUUAUGAGCCAGAACUUCAGGGAGCUCAGCGGGAAGUUGAAUUGCUCCGGCGCGAAGUAGAGAAGCUAAAACGCUGUGAUGUUGCAGAGAUCCGCAGGGCGAAGGAACAGAAUGAGUGCCUGGAUCAGGAGAUCCGAGUCCUGAGAGAGCGGGUGCGAAGCUUAGAUGCUGAGCGCUUGACUCUUUUGAACAUGCUUGAUAAAAAUUUGGAGGACAAUGAUGAUGAAAGUGAUGUCCGACCACAGAAGACAAAGAUGGAGGGUGGAGUCAAGACGUUAGGAGAACUGUCAAGAUGUGAUGAAGACAGGAUCCAUAAAAGGUGCCGUGAAGUCCUGCAGGAGAAGGAGCAGGUGCUGGGGGAUCUCCAGCGGCAUGUGCAGCAGCAGCAGGAGGAGUGUGAGGCGCUGCGGCUCCAGAAGCAGCAGGUGGUGGCCCUGCUGCAGGAAGCACAGAGUCUGACUCAGCACCAGGAGCAGAAACUCAGAACCACUGAGGAAGACCUCAGGCAGGAGAUGCAGCUGCUGAAAGAAGAGGUCAGACGUCUGCAGUCUGCCUUACAUACGGAGUGGCAGCAAUCCAGUAAACUACAGGCAGACAUAGAAAAAGAAAAGGAUGUUUCACAGUCCCUACAGUCCUCACUGCAAGAGAAGAUUGAAGAUUGCAGGAAGAAGGACGGAGCCUUGGAGAGGAGCGAAGAGCUCUUCAGAACAUUGGAGAAGGAGUUGCAGUGUCAGAAAUCUGAAAACCUCCAUUUGGUGAGGUUAAUGGCCUGCUUGCAGGAAGAGAACCAGAAGGUAUGCAGUAUCCCGCAGAAAAUGCAGAACAAUCGAUAUCAGCUGCACCAAGAGUGGAACACAGUUCCAAAGAACAAAUUUCAAAGGAAGCUGUGGGAUCACGGUGAGCUACAUGAAUCCCUAUUGGCACCCCAAGAUAUGGAGAUCACUCUGAAACAAUUCACAGUGCAGCUCAGUCAACAUAUGAAAGAUUUAGAGAUACAACUGGACGUCCUUCAAAAGAACAACAAAGGCACUGAAGAGGAACUGAAGAGGAGCAACCAUGACCUUGAGCAGAGGCUCCAUUCCAGGCAUCUGGAAGUGGAGAGGCUUGAGACGCAGCUCAAACUACUCAUGAUAGAUCUGGAUUCACUGACCAGCAAGUAUAACGAAAAGCAGUGCCAGCACAAAACCAAGAUGAGCCGGGCAAAGCAAGCAUUUCUGAAGGAGAUCUGUGGGCGGGAUGAAAAGAUCCAAAGGCUGGAGAGGGACCUUAAUCUUCUCAUUAAAAAAUUGGAGAAGGAAAAGGAUCUGGCCAGGAACAUGGGUGAGGUGAACAGUAAGCUGCUGCUUGAAAACAACAGUCUGCAGCCAAGACUUAUCAAAGAGCAGAACAAAGUCACCAGCACCAUGUGUGCAUACUCAGCCAUGCAGCGAAGAGUUGAGUUUCUGGAGAAGGAGAACAGACAGCUGGAGGACAGCGUCCUGGAGAAGUCCAGUGCGGUAGCAAAGCUAGAGUGUGUACUGGGGAGCAAGGAACUGGAAAAGCUCAGUCCUCAGGAAUGGCCGAUUAUUUGCAGAAAGUCCAGCCUGGCGCCUAAAGGAUGUGACCUGAGUGGCCUGCUAGAUCUAAUCAGUACGUCAAAGGUUAAAUGUCUGGAAAAUCUAAGAUCUUCAAUCACAAUGCCACAAAUGUGGAUGUCAGAGCUGGGCUACCUGAACUUGACUUCUUCUCCGCACUCUUCGGACACCCUGGCCCUGUCAGACUGUCCCAGCAUUGAUCGUAAUCAGGAGUAAAAAAAGAAGAAAAAAAGGCAUUUUAUGUGGUAUUUCAAAUGAAUUAAAGAUAUGUAAAUAAUGUUAUUAUUUUUCAAUAAUCAAUUAAAAUAGCCCCCAAAAAGGGCCUGGAAUUUGUAGUCAAUUUAAAUUUUUAUUGAAAAUACUUUAUUGAUGAGCAGAACUAAUAAUAACCACAAUUAAAAAUAAAGCAAACAAAAUGUACCGUACGUUUUCUGCG